rnacentral:lncRNA from 1 species
CAAGGAUGGAGCCCAGGGUGUGGACUCAACAUCAAGGACUCGUGUCCUGGAGGCGGGCUGGAAACUUGAUUUUGAAGCUUUGUGACGGGGAAUGGGUGCUUGCCUGGGAUGUGGUGGCCUCACUACGGGGCAUCUCGGCUGGGUUGCUUGUUCCCAGCAUACCUUGUUCACACAAUAUGAUCAUAAGCUGCGGAUGUCCUGUUUCUUUGUCAAGAAGGAGGAGGAGAUAACUUCAGAGUCACGAAAGUAUUUUUGUAGGAGUGAAUGUCGUCAAGGACGUAGAGACCAGCCUCUGUUGCCCACAAAUCUGAUUGCUUAAGGUGUUACCUGAGACUGAAGAAACACAGACUUUUCCCCUGAAAUGCCACCUCCCUCACUCCUUAGCCAAAUAAAAACUCCCUGCUUCAUCCUUUUGCUAACAUGGAGUUGAGGGAUUUUCUCUCCUGCCUUCUUACUUUGGCCAAAUCAAAUAAACCUUUGUCUAUCUUUAAGUACUUAUGUCUCAGUGCUGGGUCUCAGCUGCAUAUCGGGCACAUGAACCUGAAUCUGGGGUUCUACAAAGAGUGUCACAUGCCAC